rnacentral:pre_miRNA from 1 species
GCAAAAGUAGACACGGCGUGAUAUUGGUACGGCUCAUCUUAAUUCAACCACUAUAUCAACGAUUGAGACGAGCCGAAUCAAUAUCACUCUUGUUUGCUUCAUUGCAUAUAUAUAUAUACUAGCAGCUUUUUCUUUAGAAACCAAACUAUGC